rnacentral:lncRNA from 1 species
CUCAAGAGCGGGGUGGGAAUCAGGGUACCCUAGUGAGUGGCAGAGGUGAAGGAGAGGUGAAGGACCUCGCGAGGAGUGAGCAUUGCUCCAUGACUGGGAGGUGCUGGACGUGGGUUCCAGAGGGCCAAUCUAAGGAGGAAGGAGUGUGAUCUAGAGAAAAUCCAAGUAGCCCAACGCCCUCCAUCACUUCUCUCUGGACCCUCCCCUGUAUACGUGAGGUUGCCGAAGGAGCAGAAAUGGCUGCGUCCAGAAAAGCAACAAAACAAUAAAUCGAUCCUGAAUCAUAGCAUUUUCUGAUUUCUGAUGAAAUUACUCUUACUAAAAAUUUAACAGCGAGGUCUUCUGCACCACUAUGAGCUGGUUCCAGCAUACCCUGGAUACAACCAAAAGUUGUGGAAGAGUUGGUGAUAUAUGGACUAGACAAUAUUGCAGACAGGUGAAUUCAGGACUGGCUGUAUGUAGCUUCCUAUUGCAGAUGAGGAAAAAAAGGGGAAAUCACUUGGCUAAGGUCUGACAGCUAUUGAGUGACUGUGUUGGGAUUUCCAUCUGGAUCUUCUGACUCUUUAAUCAAAUUCUUUCCCCCACUAUAUCAUGUUAAAGGAUGAGCAGAUCAGAGAGGUGCAAAACAAUGUCUCAGAGCCAAGGGGGAAGCGUAGCGCUGCUUGGAAGAUCAGGGCAGCCUUCAUAGAAGAGAUGGUGUUUGAGUUGGGCUUUAAAGGAUUCAUAGAAGUGUCAUAGGGAAAGGGGAAGCAGAGGGAAUAAAAUGUACUGGAGAAGAGAAAUUAGGUAGAGA